ensembl:lncRNA
CCUUGUGGAAUGACUGCUUUUCAGAGGUGUCUUUCAGAUAUAGCUUGUGUUUGGGUUUUGAGACUCUAAUGACUCUGAAGCUAUUAUAUUUUUCUUAUGCCAGGAAGGACAACUAAUUAGAUCAGUCACAACACGUUAGCCCAAGUGACAUAGUCAUCAAUACCACAGGAUCAAGCACAGCUUAGAAAAUGACAAUUUGUGGUAGUUAAUAAUCUGUCACUUUUAACUAGGUGAGUUAAAUUAAAUCUGAGGACCAAUCCCACAUAAGUUCAUAAUGAAGAAACUCUUCAAUAUAGCAUCUUUCCCCUUCGUGGUGGGUAGUUCAAAGGAGUUGGGGAGGGAGGGCCAGUUUGAAAGAACAGGCAAGCUUAGCAGUGAGGCCAGAAGACACAGAAAGAUCACACAAACACUAAGAAGUUGUUGAAGGCCAGAGGAAGAGGCAGAAUGAAAGAACAAAGAUGUGACUAGCAUCAUCUAACAGCAACAGGGAGGCUAGAUACCGAAUUUCCUUUCCUUUAAACCUAAUGAUAAUCAAGAGAAGGAAAAAGAGAAGAAAAAACCAAUAAGGGAGAAAUCUGAAUUCAGUGCAGAAAGGAACAAAUGGGGAGAUGAGGAACAAUGUGGGACAGUGAGAGAAUGAGUGAGAUGAGAGAGAGAGAGAGAGAGAGAGAGAGAGAGAGAGAGAGAGAGAGAGAGAGAAAGGCUAAAAGAAAGAAAAGAAAGAAAAGCCAAACUUUGAGGGUAGGGAAAAAAAGUAAAAAUGAAGAAUUAAAAAUAAGAUAAAUUUUUUUUUCUUUUGUGCAAAUAGCAAUAGAAAUUAUGGGCCUCCUUCAGGGUGUGUCUCUGCUGUCACAGUAGGCAAUGUAGGAAUCCCUGUGCAUGUAUGAGUCAGUGAGUCUCUCCCGCGAGCCAGCAGCAGACCAAGUACAGUGGUCGGAUGUCCCUUUAUUAUAGAGGUUCUCUUCACUUUUCUGCUGAGCUUCAGUUUUCCUCAAGGAGCCGGAGAGGUCCUCUUUCUAUUACUAACUUCUGCUCUAUCUUGGGGCGCUCAGGACGAGGGUCUUUAUAAUCUCCUGUGCCUCUGUGGUGUGGAACCAGGUAGCAGAAAAGCCGGAAGGUAGGAGGGUGCUGCGGGGUGGGGGGGGAGAAGGACUGGGUGUUGGAGGCCCCCGCGCUGCUAAGUGGACCUCACCAUGCCGUGGGCGUGGCCCAGGACAGCCCCUGAGCUUCAAGGUACUUGUCUCUCCUGGCCAGUCGCAGCUUAGGUGCGUUACUAAUUUUUGAGGUGUUUCUGAAUGUUCUGUGGUGUCUUCUGUGAUUAAUUUGUGGUUUCACUGCACAGUGUUCUGAUAGUAAGCAUGGAGUGGUUUUUAUUCUUUUGUAUGUAUUUAAGCAGGCUUCUUAGAGUCGUAGGUGGUCUGUUUUGGAGAACGUUGCAUGUGCUACAGAGAAACAUGUGUACUCUCUUUUCCAGGGGUAGACACUCUGUACAUACAUAUUUAUCCAUAUCUUCAAGGAUGUGGUUUGACUCUUAUGUUUCCUCACUGAUGUUUUGUUCAGUUGAAGCACCUGCUUUUGAAAUUUGGAUAUUGAUGUGACCCACUGUGGUUGUGUUACUGUUUAUUUGAUCUUUUGUUUAUAUCAUCAUUUUUUUUAUGAAUAUAGAUACA